rnacentral:lncRNA from 1 species
CCUGUCUUUUGGCUUGUAGGAUUGCCCUUUGUGUUCAUUUUCACGUGAUGUCUCCCAGACCAAACUCCUGGAGGAAAGCAGCUGAGGUCUUGAGCUCCACCCUUCAUGCGUAUCCCCUGCCUGUGGCCUAUUGUCUGUCUCCUUUCAGCACCAACGGCAAAGACAUUUUAUCCUGUCUCUUGAGCUAGAAUUGGCAUGUUUUCUUCUCGAAAUUUUUGCCUUGGCCUAGAAUUUUGGACUCUGUUUAGAAUUCCAAAUUGAAAAUAAGUCAGGAGAUCACUGACAAGCUUAGCUGAGUCGGGCAUGAGGCCAUUUCUGAGGCACGUGGGUCUAUUUCACAAUAAUAUGCCAUUAAUGACAUGGACAAGGUCAUCAAACAUUUUAUGGAUGAAACAGCUUUCUCAAACUGCUCUCACGUCUGACUUCUCCCAGUCGUCUACUCAGAGAGGACAAGCCAACUCCGUCUGUUUAUCCUCCCGGGACCCAGCCAGUGCCGCCAUUCCUAUAACUGCUUCUGAACAUCCCAGAUGGGAGGGCCUGAAAGGGGACCCUUCUCCUCAUCAAAACUGCCCACAGCGUGGCAGAAGCUAUGGUCCAUGGCUGCUCUGGCAAUUCAGAAGAGCCCCUUCAGUGUCCACCUGGAGCAAACUACCCAUAAAAAGGUUCCGAGCCACUCAGAAUCCAGAAUCAGGUUUGUCAAGAUGACGGAGCACCAAGGAUUGCUUUGUAAACAGAAGCGCAAACUCGUUCCGAUAGUGGUUCCGCACCAGUGCGCGGCGGCCGCCCUGGCACAGCAGGCGGCCGAGGCUGCGGCUGCACCUGUCGCCUGAGGCCAGGAGGGACCCGGGCCGCGCGUGGAGGGGAAGCACCGAGCCGGGUCGCGGACCUCCGGCCUCCGGGGCAUCUCUAGGUUCUUGGCCUUUGGGCCUUCUGGCUUGCUGCGCUGUACCCUGUUGCUCCAAGAACUCUCCUGCACGCCAGGGAGGCGCCGCGGUGGACACUUGUCAGGGUCACCAGGCCUCCCUUCUGGACUCUCCCU